rfam:Penicillium antarcticum strain IBT 31811 PENANT_contig034, whole genome shotgun sequence.
GGGCGCGUAACUCAGUGGUAGAGUGUUCGCUUUGCAUGCGAAAAGUCCGGUGUUCGAUCCACCGCCCGUCCA